ACGACGCUGGCGGCGUGCCUAACACAUGCAAGUCAACUUGACUGAAGGAGCAAUCUGACAGUAGAGUGGCGCAAGGGUGCGUAACGCGUAAGUAACUUGCCCCAAGGUAAGGAAUAACGUCGAGAAAUCGGCGCUAAUACCUCAUAAUGCAGCGGAUCCGCAUGGAUAUGUUGUUAAAGGUCUACCGCCUUGGGAUAGGCUUGCGUCUGAUUAGCUAGUUGGUGUGGUAACGGCACACCAAGGCUACGAUCAGUAACUGGUCUGAGAGGAUGAUCAGUCACACUGGAACUGAGACACGGUCCAGACUCCUACGGGAGGCAGCAGUGAGGAAUAUUGGGCAAUGCUCGAAAGAGUGACCCAGCAACGCCGCGUGGAGGAUGAAGGUAUUCUAUAUCGUAAACUCCUGUGAGAGCAGACGAAAGACAGAUUAUUAAUCUGGAUGACUGUAUGCUCAGAGGAAGCCCCGGCUAACUACGUG
rnacentral:rRNA from 1 species